GCUCGGAGUUUCAGGUGUCACACAGACACCCAGAGUUCCAGAGACCGACCAGGUUAUACACAGGAAGGGAAACUUUCAGAAGAACAAUUCCUUGGCCUCUGAAGAGCACUGAGUGGAAAAUUCUUAACUCUGUCACAAGUGGCCUGCGUGGCUUCUUGGCCUCAUUUUGGUUUUGCUUGGACCAGAAUUACCAGUUGUCAGCAGGCGGAGGGACCUGAAAACACAGACCGCCCAUUCCUGGGAGUGGGUUUCCCCUUUAUGCUGUGCCACCACUUCCCCUUCUCUCUACAGGACAAACUUCCUCUGAGCACCCCUGCACCUCCUGGGCUGGGAGGUGACUCUCCUGAGGACUGUAGGAACCAGUCCCUUUUGUCUGCUUGGCAGUGAGAGAUUCUGUCUGCAGGACAAGCUGGAAGGAGCCACAGGCAGGGAAGCCUCACCGUUCAAGUGUGGUCCCACCACUAGCAGCAGAAGCCUCACCUGGAAGAUUAUUAGAAAUGCAGAGCCUCUGAUUUAUUACAUAAAAAGGAAACAGCUAUCUGCACUGGAAGUUUCAGGGAGUGGCCCUCAUUCUGAGACAUGGCAGCGACUUCUCUAAAGAUAAGAACUGACCAAGGACAGGACUUUCCAAGCAAGUGGAGCAGUCCCAGCAAAGAACCCUCCUGUGUAAUGAAGAACUUAAAUGUCAUCCAAUCAUUACAACUCCCCACUUGUAAAUGUUACCGAGUAAGAGUACAUAGAUGUGCACAGAGGCCAAUAUCAUGGUGUGAGAGCCUCGGGUCCAGGGCCUUCCCUAAGGACCUUGAAGAGUGUGCACAUAGCAGCUUUUGUGAUGUAGGUCAGAUAAGGUUUGACCUACUUUCCUUGCAAAAUCAGGCCUCCUGCACUAAAUGUAAUGUAUAGCUUACCUCCUUCCUGAGCUCCGUGAGAUACUAUUAUCUACAAGAUAAUCUAUAAUGCUCCUCUCUUCCCUGCUGACUGCAAUUUAUCCUGCCCUCCGUCACAAGACCCCUGCUCCUGCACUUAUGCUCUCAUACCCAUUGGAAUGUCUUUGUCUCAAGCCCCUGUAACUGCCUUGAUCAUCUCCCCCCACGAGUGGAGUACUUGCACAUUGAGCUCUGAUCCAGCCGCCAUUCAGAGCAGCUCCUGACUUUGGAGCAACUUGACUGACUUCCAUUCCCUGUAAGCAAGCCCCAAAUAAAAGCUCAUGUCUCAAACCUUGCCUGAUGCCUUCUUUAGUCCUUCUGCUGCAAAAGCCCACUUGGGCAGUGACACAUGGCAUUGGGCUUUUGAGAAAGAAUGAGUUUUAUUGUGAGGUCAACUGGCAAGGAGGCAGGAGGCAAGGCUCAAAUCUGUCUCCCUGACACGAGAGUUAAGGGAGAUUUUAUGGGCAUGGGAAGUGAAAAUUGGGGAGAUUUGACUUGGCAUAGUACAAUUGGUUAAUUAUAGAGUUGUCCAUAUGUGAUAGAAAGGACUGUAAGCCAAAUCUUACUUUUUGAAGGACCCCUUAGAUUUGAUUUUCUUCCAGUGUCUCCUUGUCCUCAUA